GAGGCAUCCAUAAGACAGAGACGGAGAGCACCGCGUGGAUCGUGGAGUCCAGCUGGGCCCUGACGCACCCCGACUACAGCCUGUUCGCGUACUACAGCCAUAGCGUGGCUGUCGUGUACCUGCCCGAGGAAGCUCCUCUGAACAGUUUCAUCGGCCUGGUUGCACUACCUUCUGCUCUCGAGGUCAACGACACCUUCGUGGGAGAAAACGCGAUCAUCGCCGGCUGGGGACGGCCUUCUCAAUCUGUAGACGGUUCAGAGACUCUUCAGUGGACUGAUGUGACGGUUGUUCCCAACCAAGUAUGCGAGCAGUUCUACGAAUCAGGCGCCGUUAUUGAAAGCACGCUGUGUGCCGGAAACGAGUACACUGGCUCUUGCUGGGGGGACCUCGGUAGCGCGCUUGUUGUCAAGAGCGCCGGCGGCUACAAGCAGAUUGGGGUGUCCAGCUUCCUUCCGGAGGAGGGCUGUGACGUAGCCGGGGCAGCCGCUGCCUACGUCAGGAUCACCUCCGUGCUCGACUGGAUCACCAGCAACGCCAUCAGCGUUUAGCCACAACCUGGUGUUGCCUACGAUGGACUUCCGUCGUUGCGCCUUCUCUGAGCUUAGCUGAAUUCAAUAGCAUUUCCUUCUAAUGUACUUCUGUUUCUGUUUUAAUUCAAAUAUGGUGGAG